UUCUUCCCUCUUGAUGUUUCUUCUUCCCUCUUUGAAACACUUCUUCUGAAACUCUCUAAAGGAAGCCACCAACACCACAGUCACCAUCUUAUUCGUUACUUCUUCUUAUUCCUUUGAUUUAUUACUUCUUCUUCUUCCUCCUCCUUUUGAUUCUACAGUAGCGGUACCUGCAACACCACCGUCACUGGCCUACACCAUCAUCACUAUUCACUAGCCUACACCACCAUUACCAGCAUCACCACCUUUAAAGCUCAAUUGAAACCCUAGAUUUGGCCGGUUUUGGCAAAAUAUCGGGCCGACCUGCCUAUGUGCAGGCUUAAUUUGGAAUAGCUUGGAUUCCACCAUACGACUUCCUCUUAUAAACUGGAUUACACCCAUUUAUUUAACUGACCGUUUGUAACGUCGUUAGCAAAACCGCGGAGAGACAACACUUAUGUGAGGAUUUACACCAAAUUAAUUACUUACAUUUGGCUUACACCAUAUACUUAAACUCCCGUCUUUCUCUUCUUCUCUUUUGGUGGACAAUAUCAAUAAACCCUAAUUUUUUGCUCGCAUAAUCCCAAUUAACUCCUGCAAUCUCCACUAUCAACUCCUUUCUUCUCCUAAUCAGGCCUAUCAAGUACCAAUAUAACUGAUAAAUUUUGGUUACUCUAUUUACCCCUACAAUUGCAGCUAAGGAGCUACGCUGAGCAACACCAUGGUCUCCUAUGUUAAUUUGUGUGCCUGCAUACAUGAAAUUUAUCAGAUACUGAAGUUUCCUUGCGGUGCUGAGUCGAGGCAAAAUUUUCUCAAUAACUGUAUAACACCAUGAAAGUGUGAAAUUGAAUAGCUUUCUUUGAAACUCAUUCUAGCUGAACAAAGUAACAAUGCGAGAAGGAUACAUGAACACCAAUUGGAGUAAACAUAUGGAGCAACUGUAUGGUACAGAACAACAACUAUGACAAAAACUCAGAUACUAUCUUUUGUUCGAAAGAGAAAUUUCGUGUCCACUUCUAUUUCGUUUUAUCAGCAAGUAAUACAGAUAAACCUUAUGAAUCACAUAUGUAGUCAAUUAUAGUAUGAACAGAGCAGUGCAGCAUCAAGAGCUUACAUUUUAUUAUAGACAUCGAGUAGGCUAGAGGUUUCAUCCGAACUUCCUAAAGUUGAGUCAUAAAACUUCCUAAACUUCUAUCGUCCUAAUCAUUAUUGUCUCUAAAAAGAUACAUAUUUCGUGGAUUGAUUAUUGCAGGUUUGUUCCAGAAAAUGGCAAGGACGUGCUAAGCAGAUUAUUGUUAGGCUCACAUUUAGUUAAGGAAGUAGCAUAAAAUACUGAAUGAAACCAGGAUGCUUUCUGCUUCCUCUGAUGAUUUGUUCCUCUCUCUUGAACACCAUCAUGUAUAUUCUUUCUUUUUGUGCGACAGUUGCACAUUGUGGCAAGAUUUUGAAACUAGGGAAGUUCAAGAAUUCCUUUUAUUGCAAUCAUGUAAUAACAUUUUCAUGAGGCUAUUUAAACUUACCUUUCUCUUUCUAGAA